rnacentral:rRNA from 1 species
GGGUUGUGAGGUUAAGCGACUAAGCGUACACGGUGGAUGCCCUGGCAGUCAGAGGCGAUGAAGGACGUGCUAAUCUGCGAAAAGCGCCGGCGAGGUGAUAUGAACCUUUGACCCGGCGAUGUCCGAAUGGGGAAACCCAGUGUGAUUCGUCACACUAUCGUUAACUGAAUACAUAGGUUAACGAGGCGAACCGGGGGAACUGAAACAUCUAAGUACCCCGAGGAAAAGAAAUCAACCGAGAUUCCCCCAGUAGCGGCGAGCGAACGGGGAGCAGCCCAGAGUCUGAAUCAGCUUGUGUGUUAGUGGAAGCGUCUGGAAAGUCGCACGGUACAGGGUGACAGUCCCGUACACGAAAGCACACAGGUUGUGAACUCGAAGAGUAGGGCGGGACACGUGGUAUCCUGUCUGAAUAUGGGGGGACCAUCCUCCAAGGCUAAAUACUCCUGACUGACCGAUAGUGAACCAGUACCGUGAGGGAAAGGCGAAAAGAACCCCGGCGAGGGGAGUGAAAAAGAACCUGAAACCGUGUACGUACAAGCAGUGGGAGCACCUUCGUGGUGUGACUGCGUACCUUUUGUAUAAUGGGUCAGCGACUUAUAUUCUGUAGCAAGGUUAACCGUAUAGGGGAGCCGA